rnacentral:rRNA from 1 species
UUAAGCGACUAAGCGUACACGGUGGAUGCCCUGGCAGUCAGAGGCGAUGAAGGACGUGCUAAUCUGCGAUAAGCGUCGGUAAGGUGAUAUGAACCGUUAUAACCGGCGAUUUCCGAAUGGGGAAACCCAGUGUGUUUCGACACACUAUCAUUAACUGAAUCCAUAGGUUAAUGAGGCGAACCGGGGGAACUGAAACAUCUAAGUACCCCGAGGAAAAGAAAUCAACCGAGAUUCCCCCAGUAGCGGCGAGCGAACGGGGAGCAGCCCAGAGCCUGAAUCAGURUGUGUGUUAGUGGAAGCGUCUGGAAAGGCGCGCGAUACAGGGUGACAGCCCCGUACACAAAAAUGCACAURYUGUGAGCUCGAUGAGUAGGGCGGGACACGUGGUAUCCUGUCUGAAUAUGGGGGGACCAUCCUCCAAGGCUAAAUACUCCUGACUGACCGAUAGUGAACCAGUACCGUGAGGGAAAGGCGAAAAGAACCCCGGCGAGGGGAGUGAAAAAGAACCUGAAACCGUGUACGUACAAGCAGUGGGAGCACGCUUAGGCGUGUGACUGCGUACCUUUUGUAUAAUGGGUCAGCGACUUAUAUUCUGUAGCAAGGUUAACCGAAUAGGGGAGCCGAAGGGAAACCGAGUCUUAACUGGGCGUUAAGUUGCAGGGUAUAGACCCGAAACCCGGUGAUCUAGCCAUGGGCAGGUUGAAGGUUGGGUAACACUAACUGGAGGACCGAACCGACUAAUGUUGAAAAAUUAGCGGAUGACUUGUGGCUGGGGGUGAAAGGCCAAUCAAACCGGGAGAUAGCUGGUUCUCCCCGAAAGCUAUUUAGGUAGCGCCUCGUGAAUUCAUCUCCGGGGGUAGAGCACUGUUUCGGCAAGGGGGUCAUCCCGACUUACCAACCCGAUGCAAACUGCGAAUACCGGAGAAUGUUAUCACGGGAGACACACGGCGGGUGCUAACGUCCGUCGUGAAGAGGGAAACAACCCAGACCGCCAGCUAAGGUCCCAAAGUCAUGGUUAAGUGGGAAACGAUGUGGGAAGGCCCAGACAGCCAGGAUGUUGGCUUAGAAGCAGCCAUCAUUUAAAGAAAGCGUAAUAGCUCACUGGUCGAGUCGGCCUGCGCGGAAGAUGUAACGGGGCUAAACCAUGCACCGAAGCUGCGGCAGCGACRCUKAUGYGUUGUUGGGUAGGGGAGCGUUCUGUAAGCCUGYGAAGGUGUGCUGUGAGGCAUGCUGGAGGUAUCAGAAGUGCGAAUGCUGACAUAAGUAACGAUAAAGCGGGUGAAAAGCCCGCUCGCCGGAAGACCAAGGGUUCCUGUCCAACGUUAAUCGGGGCAGGGUGAGUCGACCCCUAAGGCGAGGCCGAAAGGCGUAGUCGAUGRGAAACAGGUUAAUAUUCCUGUACUUGGUGUUACUGCGAAGGGGGGACGGAGAAGGCUAUGUUGGCCGGGCGACGGUUGUCCCGGUUUAAGCGUGUAGGCUGGUUUUCCAGGCAAAUCCGGAAAAUCAAGGCUGAGGCGUGAUGACGAGGCACUACGGUGCUGAAGCAACAAAUGCCCUGCUUCCAGGAAAAGCCUCUAAGCAUCAGGUAACAUCAAAUCGUACCCCAAACCGACACAGGUGGUCAGGUAGAGAAUACCAAGGCGCUUGAGAGAACUCGGGUGAAGGAACUAGGCAAAAUGGUGCCGUAACUUCGGGAGAAGGCACGCUGAUAUGUAGGUGARGUCCCUCGCGGAUGGAGCUGAAAUCAGUCGAAGAUACCAGCUGGCUGCAACUGUUUAUUAAAAACACAGCACUGUGCAAACACGAAAGUGGACGUAUACGGUGUGACGCCUGCCCGGUGCCGGAAGGUUAAUUGAUGGGGUUAGCCGCAAGGCGAAGCUCUUGAUCGAAGCCCCGGUAAACGGCGGCCGUAACUAUAACGGUCCUAAGGUAGCGAAAUUCCUUGUCGGGUAAGUUCCGACCUGCACGAAUGGCGUAAUGAUGGCCAGGCUGUCUCCACCCGAGACUCAGUGAAAUUGAACUCSCYGUGAAGAUGCRGUGUACCCGCGGCAAGACGGAAAGACCCCGUGAACCUUUACUAUAGCUUKACACUGAACAUUGAGCCUUGAUGUGUAGGAUAGGUGGGAGGCUUWGAAGUGURGACGCCAGUCUGCAUGGAGCCGACCUUGAAAUACCACCCUUUAAUGUUUGAUGUUCUAACGUUGACCCGUAAUCCGGGUUGCGGACAGUGUCUGGUGGGUAGUUUGACUGGGGCGGUCUCCUCCUAAAGAGUAACGGAGGAGCACGAAGGUUGGCUAAUCCUGGUCGGACAUCAGGAGGUUAGUGCAAUGGCAUAAGCCAGCUUGACUGCGAGCGUGACGGCGCGAGCAGGUGCGAAAGCAGGUCAUAGUGAUCCGGUGGUUCUGMAUGGAAGGGCCAUCGCUCAACGRAUAAAAGGUACUCCGGGGAUAACAGGCUGAUACCGCCCAAGAGUUCAUAUCGACGGCGGUGUUUGGCACCUCGAUGUCGGCUCAUCACAUCCUGGGGCUGAAGUAGGUCCCAAGGGUAUGGCUGUUCGCCAUUUAAAGUGGUACGCGAGCUGGGUUUAGAACGUCGUGAGACAGUUCGGUCCCUAUCUGCCGUGGGCGCUGGAGAACUGAGGGGGGCUGCUCCUAGUACGAGAGGACCGGAGUGGACGCAUCACUGGUGUUCGGGUUGUCAUGCCAAUGGCACUGCCCGGUAGCUAAAUGCGGAAGAGAUAAGUGCUGAAAGCAUCUAAGCACGAAACUUGCCCCGAGAUGAGUUCUCCCUGACYCYUURAGRGUCCUGAAGGAACGUUGAAGACGACGACGUUGAUAGGCCGGGUGUGUAAGCGCAGCGAUGCGUUGAGCUAACCGGUACUAAUGAACCGUGAGGCUUAACCUU